ACCGGGUGCCAAGCUGAGAGCCUGGAUGAUAUUUCACAUGUGCCGGUCCCAAAGGAAUUCCUUAACUCCCCCUUCCUGGAACCGAAAUGCUUCCAAAGACAGAGAGCUCGUAUAUAUAUUUCUCUGUUUUACCCAGCGGACCGUGCAUGAAAGGCGCCUUUCCUGGCGCGUGUGUCUCUGACCCUGUGGAUCUUCUGGACAAUUCCCGGAAUUUCUUGCAGGGUAGCACUUUCCCUUAAGUCGUCUCUUUCUCGUUUGGAUAGUCAGUAUUUGUAUAGUCACUAUUCUCUUUUGGUUAGCCAUCCAAUUUUAUACUGCUAGUCCAGUUCUACUGCCUUCCCCCUAGAGUUUGAAUUUAUUUUUCUUCAAACGCGACACAAACCCAAAUAAACUCAACCAAAGCGGACUUUACCUACCUACCUACCUACUUACCAAGAAAAUAUCCCAUAAAGGAGAGAACAGAGAAGCUUGCAAUACAGGAAGAAAAAAGAAAAGAAUUACAGAAUGGAAGCGAUGUGUGCGCUAAAAAUGCAGGUACUUAAAGGAAAUUGGGCUGAUUUGUACUGGACACCGAAUUUAAGGAAUACAGGAUCUCAACCUUUCUUUGACUCGAUUACCUUUUUAUUCCAUUUUGGUGUGGACGCGUCUGAAACUGAUAGUGCUGCUGCUACCUACCAUAAUGUGUUUGUUGCAAGAUCCACAAGAACGUGGAUGCCAAGAAUCCACAAAAAAACAGAUGCAACCGUUGAUGAGGCCAUAAGCAGAAACAGUAAAUGGUUCCCACGUUUCCUCUGCUUUAACUACUGAUGAUGAAAUGCAAGUCAUAAGGCAAAUAGAAGGGCUGUACUGAUACAGACAAAAUGUUAUUAUUAUGGGAAGGGAUAAGUCUCUUGUAAAACCUCGAAAUUUUUUUCUUCUUUGAGAAAAAUCUAUCACCUAUUUUCACCCUGCUCUUGAUAUAGCAAAUAUUGUAAGUUGUCUUAU
rnacentral:lncRNA from 1 species